rnacentral:rRNA from 1 species
AGUGAACGCUGGCGGUAGGCCUAACACAUGCAAGUCGAACGGCAGCACAGUAUGAGCUUGCUCUUACGGGUGGCGAGUGGCGGACGGGUGAGGAAUACAUCGGAAUCUACUUUUUCGUGGGGGAUAACGUAGGGAAACUUACGCUAAUAUCGCAUACGACCUACGGGUGAAAGCAGGGGAUCUUCGGACCUUGCGCGAUUGAAUGAGCCGAUGUCGGAUUAGCUAGUUGGCGGGGUAAAGGCCCACCAAGGCGACGAUCCGUAGCUGGUCUGAGAGGAUGAUCAGCCACACUGGAACUGAGACACGGUCCAGACUCCUACGGGAGGCAGCAGUGGGGAAUAUUGGACAAUGGGCGCAAGCCUGAUCCAGCCAUACCGCGUGGGUGAAGAAGGCCUUCGGGUUGUAAAGCCCUUUUGUUGGGAAAGAAAAGCAGCAGGUUAAUACCCCGCUGUUCUGACGGUACCCAAAGAAUAAGCACCGGCUAACUUCGUG